rnacentral:rRNA from 1 species
AGCAGCCGCGGUAAUUCCAGCUCCAAUAGCGUAUAUUAAAGUUGUUGCAGUUAAAAAGCUCGUAGUUGAAUUUCGGGAUCAGUACGCCGGUCGUGCCUCCGGUAUGUACUGGUGUCACUGAUUCCUCCCUUCUGAAGAACCAUCAUGCCAUUCAUUUGGUGUGGUGGGGAAUCAGGACUGUUACUUUGAAAAAAUUAGAGUGUUUAAAGCAGGCUCACGCUUGAAUACAUUAGCACGGAAUAAUGAAAUAGGACGUUGAUCUUAUUUUGUUGGUUUCUAGGAUUGACGUAAUGAUUAAUAGGGAUAGUUGGGGGCAUUAGUAUUCAAUUGUCAGAGGUGAAAUUCUUGGAUUUAUUGAAGACUAACUACUGCGAAAGCAUUUGCCAAGGAUGUUUUCAUUAAUCAAGAACGAAAGUUAGGGGAUCGAAGACGAUCAGAUACCGUCGUAGUCUUAACCAUAAACUAUGCCGACUAGGGAUCGGAUGAUGUAAUUUUUAAUGA